rnacentral:rRNA from 1 species
GACGAACGCUGGCGGCGUGCUUAACACAUGCAAGUCGAGCGGAGCGGCGAACGGGUGAGUAACGCGUGAGUAACUGCCCCCCUCUCUGGGAUAACAGUUGGAAACGGCUGCUAAUACCGGAUAGUGGGGGAUGACUCGCGUCCUAUCAGCUUGUUGGUGGGGUAAUGGCCUACCUAGGCAACGAUACAUAGCCGACCUGAGAGGGUGAUCGGCCACACUGGGCUGAGACACGGCCCAGACUCCUACGGGAGGCAGCAGUGGGGAAUAUUGCACAAUGGGGGAAACCCUGAUGCAGCAACGCGCGUGCGGGAUGACGGCCUUCGGGUUGUAAACCGCUUUCAGCCAUGACGCGGUAGUGGCAGAAGAAGCACCGGCUAACUACGUGCCAGCCGCCGCGGUAAUUC